UUUUUUCUGUUUAAAGCGUCGUCGCUGCCGCCUGGGGGAGCGAGGGUGUGCGGGCGGGUGGAGGCUAGGGGGGGCGGUCCCCGCCCCAGAUGCCCGCCCCGCCGGAACCCGCCGCCGCCGCGCUGGGCCCGCUCCAGCGAGCCCUCACCUGGGACCGCUGGCCGCCCCGCCGGAUUCCUCCGGGCGGGGCCGGGAGGCCCGCGCCCACCUCCGCCCCGCAGCAUCCAAGUGGGAAACCGAGGCUGGAGGCGGAAGAUGGGCCGGGCCCGGGGGUUGCUCGGCGGGUAGGAGGCCAGGUGGGGCUGGAACCCAGGGCUCCCAGCCCUGGCCCAGCCUCCUUUGCACAUGCGGGGGUCUCACCACCCCUCAGUCACUUCUCAUGAGUACCGGUCCACCGCUGCCCACUAGGACUCAAGGAGGGGGUACCCCUUCACCAGGCCCUCAGUGGGGGUCCCAGGAAGAAGUCCUUGGGGUCCUGAAGAAGAGUAGAUAGAGCAAAGUUUGAAAUCCAGCUUGCCUGCCAACCCCCAGUAAAUGGCUUCCCGGUGCCCACCCUGCCCCCGCCCCUCCGCCUUGUCUGGACGGGCUGGCUGGGCUGGCUCUGGGCCUCAGACACUCUGGAAUCGCCAAGGUCUGAGCUCAGGGCCUGGCCCCCUUCCCAGGCUAACAGCCGGGAGGAGGGGAGUGAUGCCUGAGGGCCUGGGGCUGGGGAGGGGCACAGCCGGGCCCCAGGGCAGGGGCUGGCAGGGACUGGGGAAGGGCCCUGAGUUGGGCCAAGGCUGGAGAGAAGCCAGGCCUGCCCACUGGUCUGGAAGGGAGGCCCUCGAGGGCUGCAGUGGCCUGGUGCCCAGGCCAUAUCACUGGGUACCUGGCCAGGGGAGACCCCCGAUUCAGUCUCUGACUCACAGAACUCAGCAGGGGGUGAGUAUGACCAAGGUACCUCCGGAGCAGGUCACAGCCAAGACAGGGUGAUACCCUCUCUCCGGGGGGAACAGGGGUUGCAGUCUGAAGGAAAGGGGGUUCAGGUACGUGACUUGAGGUACACCUGUGUAAGUAACUCAUGGCUUUAACUUUGAGGGUGGGCUUAUUUGGGGUGACCGAGGGAGACUUUUUAGUGGACCCCUGCCCAAAUUGCUCAGUGGGCUCAGGCCCUGUUCAGAUAGACAGGUGUUGGAGGAGUAAGAUCGGGGCAGUCCCGUGUCCCCAGGGGAGAUAGGAGGGUAUGUAGUAUGGACAGCCCCCACACUCCCUCAGGGGGGUCUCUGGUCACACAUUGAGGCCGGGAGUGGUACUGAUGCUCACCACCUGCCAGGCAUAGGGCUAAGCAUUUUCUGGUCAUUUUUCCCUCAUACUCAUCUGAACCUGACCCUCCUCUGCCUACAGUAAGAUGUGACUCACCUUGGAACACAGCAUAAACAGACUAGGGUUAGAGUCCUCAUCUCCGAGCCUGUUUUUUGACCUGUAAAAUGGGGAUCUAGUCAUUCGACAAACAAGGAACCUCUUGCAUGCUCUUUUUAAAAAACUAAUUAAUUAGGCUUCGCCGGGUCCUAGUUGCAGCAGGGAACUUUGAGUUGCAGCAUGUGGGGUCUAGUUCCCUGCCCAGGGAUCAAACUCAGGCCCUGCGCAUUGGGAGCGUGGAAUCUUAACAACUGGCCCAGGGAAGUCCCCAACAUGCACUUGUUAACAGGUAGAACCAAUCGCUGCUUUCCUGGAGCUUCUGUCCUGGAGGAGACAGACACGCGACAGAUCAACUCACACCUGACUGAGGCUGUGCCAGAGGAGCUGAGACAUGGCCAGCGGAGCAACAGGGUGGGGAGGCAGAGAGAGAGAGAGAGCAUCCGGAGGCGGAGGCGGGAGGCCACGGUCAGAGAGAGGAGGCAGAGUCUGAUGUGACUCAGAGGAGCAGCUGGAGGAAGCUGAGGGAAGAAAACCAGGAGUGUGAUGUCGGAGAGCCCAGAGAAGCAAGUGUUUUGGGAGGAGAGCAUGGCCAAGGGUGUCUAAUGCUGCUGACAGGAGGAUGGAGGAAGCACAACCUCGCCUCCAGCUCUUAGCACAUCGUGACCUGGCGGGCAAAGGGCACUGAUGUUUGUUGACUGAUUGGAUGGACUGAGACCACGAGGCUGUGAAAGAUGAAACAGUUAGACUCGGCUCAUCUGGCGAACAAGGAAGUAAAGCAGCCGACAUUCAUGAAACCCUCAGUAGAUGCUGGCCACACGUGAUGAAGAGCAUGAGAGAUGGGACUGGAAAACGAAAUGAAUCUGUCUUCAUGCUUGAGCAGCCAGAGGAUCUUCAGCCCCGCCCCUUGUCUCCACCUUCUGAAUCCAGGAAAAGUCCACCGGGGAGAAUCUGACUUGAGACAAGCGCGGCCUGGGUGGAGGCCCAGCCCUGCCACCUCCCAGCAGGGUGAUUGUGAAGAAAUCUCUUAACCUGUCCAGGCUUCAGCUUCUCCAUCUGCACUUUGGGGAUGAUAAGACACAAUUCACGGCGCUGUCCUGAGGCUUAAAGGAGGGUAAUUCAAGUUGUUAGCACAGUGCCUGGCCCCAAGAUAAAAUACACCAGAAGUUCCUCUGAGGGGCUGCUGACACCGACUGCCCUUUGAGCAUCCCCCUGUGAUGAUGGUACUAAAACAGGGACUAGGAGUUACUUGUCAACAGUGUGUAUGUUGGACUUGCAUUUGUGUUUAUUUACAUGUCAGUUACAGGCCUGAGAGAAAAGGUCUGGUCUUGCCUCUUUGGCACAGGUUCAGAAAUCUCACAUGGAUUGUGGAAAUACAAUUUCUGUUGUGUUUGAAAAAAAAUACACCAAAAGUUGAGUAUUAUUAUUUUUUAUUAGGCUAUUUCAUUCAUCUUAACUCAAUUAAAUUAUAUAUAUAUUUACAUUUUUA